rnacentral:rRNA from 1 species
AUUGAACGCUGGCGGCAGGCCUAACACAUGCAAGUCGAACGGUAACAGGAAGAAGCUUGCUUCUUUGCUGACGAGUGGCAGACGGGUGAGUAAUGUCUGGGAAACUGCCUGAUGGAGGGGGAUAACUACUGGAAACGGUAGCUAAUACCGCAUAACGUCGCAAGACCAAAGAGGGGGACCUUCGGGCCUCUUGCCAUCGGAUGUGCCCAGAUGGGAUUAGCUAGUAGGUGGGGUAACGGCUCACCUAGGCGACGAUCCCUAGCUGGUCUGAGAGGAUGACCAGCCACACUGGAACUGAGACACGGUCCAGACUCCUACGGGAGGCAGCAGUGGGGAAUAUUGCACAAAGGGCGCAAGCCUGAUGCAGCCAUGCCGCGUGUAUGAAGAAGGCCUUCGGGUUGUAAAGUACUUUCAGCGGGGAGGAAGGGAGUAAAGUUAAUACCUUUGCUCAUUGACGUUACCCGCAGAAGAAGCACCGGCUAACUCCGUG